ACCCGCUGAACUUAAGCAUAUCAAUAAGCGGAGGAAAAGAAACUAACAAGGAUUCCCCUAGUAACGGCGAGUGAAGCGGGAAGAGCUCAAAUUUAAAAUCUGGCGGUUGCACCGUCCGAGUUGUAGUCUAGAGAAGCAUCAUCUACGCUGGACCAUGUACAAGUCUCUUGGAACAGAGCGUCAUAGAGGGUGAGAAUCCCGUCCUUGACAUGGACUCCCAGUGUUCUGUGUUGUGCUCUCAACGAGUCGAGUUGUUUGGGAAUGCAGCUCAAAAUGGGUGGUAAAUUCCAUCUAAAGCUAAAUAUUGGCGAGAGACCGAUAGCGAACAAGUACCGUGAGGGAAAGAUGAAAAGCACUUUGGAGAGAGAGUUAAACAGUACGUGAAAUUGUUGAAAUGGAAACGCUUGAAGUCAGUCGCGUUCUCUGGGAUUCAGCCUUGCUUUUGCUUGGUGCAUGUCCUAGUCUACGGGCCAGCAUGGAUUUCGACCGUCGGAAAAGGGCUGGGGGAAUGUGGCACCUUCGGGUGUGUUAUAGCCCCUUGUCGCAUACGUCGGUUGGGAUCGAGGACCUCAGUGCACGCUUCGGUUGUGCUUUGAUGCUGGCGUAAUGGCUUUAAACGACCCGUCUUGAAACACGG
rnacentral:rRNA from 1 species